rnacentral:lncRNA from 1 species
AAGACUCGGCAGGAGCUGAAGAAGCUCUGCGAACGUUUGCACAGAAGCAGCCGUGGCUCAGGUGCUCGGGGGUGGAAAGCCAGCAGCUUCCCAGCCAGCUCGGCGGCACUGCUCCCAACCAGGCCUGGCUCAGCAACGCUCAAGAUGUCUUGGAGGAUUUUGGUGCAAGUCUUGCCCUUGUUCGUGUGGGGACUCAGUGAGCAGGUAGCAGAAUGGUUCAUGGCGUUUCCAGUCGGGAACAGCCAACACCUGGCACUUCCGAGGCAGACAUUGCCCAGGAGCUGCUCUCGAGUUUAAGUAAUCAGUGACUAAUUUCACUGUUGAGAGGUUUGGUUGAGAGCUUAGAGGGAAAAAGAUGAAACAGUAAAUAGCUGCUAGGAGCUGGGUGCAGAACUGGGAGGCUCUGGUUUCAUGGGGAGGUUUGCUCUUUGCUGUGGGACCCCUCGGAGGUGGCCUCCUCCCCAGCACGCGAGGCUGUGCCGAAAACUUCAGUAAUCACGCGCGGGAGCUCUGUUCCGAGGCUCACGUCAGUGUGCAGGUUCCAGGUCCUGCCUCCCUGGCCGUGCUGCCCAACGCGCGCCGCAGGAGCCGAGCACCCGCGGCCUGGAGGGCGCAGCCCUUCAAGAGAGCACUAAUUGCCCCAUCAAGGCAUUUAGCUUUCUUCCCUGUGCAGUUCAUCUCCAAAGCCUCCACUGUGUCUGGGCUAAGCAGAAGAGCUAAUUACACUACACAUUUCCAAGCCACCUAGAUCUGAACUAGCCAGAAACACCAUAAAAGCCUCUUUUGUCACAGCACUCUGCUGACUCUAGUCUUGGCCCAGUCAAGUAGGCUGAACUUCUCCAGGUCUUGGAAGAGCUCAGGAGCAUUUCAAGUGCGGGAUAAGGCUGCUAGCAGUCGUCCGAUCCGAAGGGRCUUGCCUGCACGGAAUUACAACAUACCUGAUCAAUACGCUGCCUCGUGAGCGCACAGCACCUGGGAGAGGAAGGCACCCUUGAGAAGGUGGUUUUUCCGUAUGAGAUUAGCAUUGUACCAGCAGAGGAUAUGCCCAUUUCAGCAUAUGCCACAUUUUGAAAUUAUAUCAGAGUAUCUGGUUCAUGUAAUCAAAGAUAAGUAACUUGAUCCAGGUACAGUGCUUGGAAUAGCAAUUCCGGCCAUUAUCUGUAAGCUACAAGCCACAAAAGCAGCACAGGUUUUAGUAUGAAGAUUUCCUAMCAGCUUUGCCACUGCUGGAUCAGACAAGUGACAAGGAAGGAGUACGCUGCUGCCCUCCCGCAGCGCGGCUUUCCCCGCAGCCUCUGGCGU